rnacentral:rRNA from 1 species
UACGUAGGGUGCGAGCGUUGUCCGGAAUUACUGGGCGUAAAGCGCGUGUAGGUGGAUUGGUGUGUCAGAUGUGAAAUCCCUGGGCUCAACCCAGGAACUGCACCUGAAACUACCAGUCUUGAGUGGUGGAGAGGGAAGUGGAAUUCCUGGUGUAGAGGUGAAAUUCGUAGAUAUCAGGAGGAACACCAGUGGCGAAGGCGGCUUCCUGGACACCAACUGACGCUGAGACGCGAAAGCCAGGGAGCAAACGGG